GCACCCAGUCCCAGGCACAUAGUCACACACACAGGCAGACAGUCUCACACACACACACACUCUCUCUUGUCACUAGUGUCUAGUAGUUAGGGGAAGCCGGGCUUGCUUCAUCUCAGUAUGCAGCAGUAACAGCAGCAGGUGGAGGUCGCAUUUAGCACCGCCUUUGGCUCUGCUCCAUUGUCAAUUUAGCUCUGCCCCCACCUUCCUUACUUGCGG